AUUGAACGCUGGCGGCAGGCCUAACACAUGCAAGUCGAACGAGUGGCGGACGGGUGAGUAAUGUCUGGGAAACUGCCUGAUGGCGGGGGAUAACUACUGGAAACGGUAGCUAAUACCGCAUACCAUCAGAUGUGCCCAGAUGGGCUUAGCUAGUUGAUGGGGUAACGGCUCACCAAGGCGACGAUCCCUAGCUGGUCUGAGAGGAUGACCAGCCACACUGGACGAAAGACACGGUCCAGACUCCUGCGGGAGGCAGCAGGGGGAGAUAUUGCACGAUGGGCGCAAGCCUGAUGCGGCCGUGCCGCGUGUAUGACGAAGGCCUUCGGGUUGUAAAGUACUUUCAGCGGGUAGGCGUUAACCGCAGAAGAAGCGCCGGAUAACUCCGUGCAAGCAGCCGCGGUAAUUC
rnacentral:rRNA from 1 species